AUGGUAGUACUCAAGCUAGAUUUCCGCAAAGCUUUUGACACGGUCAGCUGGCAGUGCCUCUAUACCAUCAUGGAAGCCUGGGGUUUCCCUCAGAGAUGGAUCAGUUGGCCUUCUACGCUCCUUUCGAUGGCCAGUUCAAGAGUUAUGGUUAAUGGUGAGCUUGGCGAUCCUUUCAUGGCUAAGAAAGGGCUGAGGCAGGGUGACUCCACGUCACCA
rnacentral:rRNA from 1 species